rnacentral:misc_RNA from 1 species
UGGUUCUGGCAUCGAUGAAGAACGCGGCGAAAUGCGAUAAGUAAUGUGAAUUGCAGAAUUCAGUGAAUCAUCGAAUCUUUGAACGCACAUUGCGCCCGCCGGUAUUCCGGCGGGCAUGCCUGUUCGAGCGUCAUUUCAACCCUCAGGCACCGCCUGGUGUUGGGGCGCCACCGCAUGGUGGGCCCUGAAAGUCAGCGGCGAGCGUCCCCUGGACCCGAGCGUAGUAACACAUCUCGCUUAGGGCGCCUGGGGCGGUUCCAGCCGUUAAACCCCUAUAUCUCAAGGUUGACCUCGGAUCAGGUAGGAAUACCCGCUGA